GCUGCCUGAGCGUCGGUCCUCAGAGGAGGGACCCAGGGGCCCGGGCGCCCUCAGAGCAGGCCGCAGCACGCCGGUCUUUGAGGGACCCUCGGAUUCCCGGGAUCUGGGGAGGGAAGCGGUCAGAGACAAGCUGAGGAGCUGGCCGGAGGGGAAACGGAGGGGCAGGACAUGGAGAGAUCAGGGACAGGGACAGGGAGAGAUCAGGGACAGGGACAGGGAGACGCGCUCCACAGAAACCCAGACUGAGAGGCAGCGAGAGGGGAACCUCCGGUGCGGUUCCUCCCAAAGCCGCCCCCGAGACAGGCUUCGUCUGUGAGGGGGUCCCGGGAAUC
rnacentral:lncRNA from 1 species